rnacentral:misc_RNA from 1 species
AACCUAGCACACCUGCGGUGUGUACCUGCGGAAGGAUCAUUACCGAGUUUACAACUCCCAAACCCCUGUGAACAUACCUUUAUGUUGCCUCGGCGGAUCAGCCCGCGCCCCGUAAAACGGGACGGCCCGCCGCAGGACCACAAAACUCUGAUUUUAGUGUAACUUCUGAGUCUAAAAAACAAAUAAAUCAAAACUUUCAACAAUGGAUCU